AAAAAUGUUUUAUCGCUUUUACUAAAUUGAACUAAGUGAAAUAUUAUAUAAAAAAACAAUAAUCAGUUAUAUAUAGAGUAAAAAUAACUAAAUGAAAUAAAAUUAAAAACAUAUUAUUAUUUAUAUAACAAUAUCUCAUAAUGUAAUUAAAAAAAUCAAAAAUUACUACGACGUCAGUAAUUUAUAAUAUUCAUACUUAUCGCACCUAUAUCACUAUACAUGAACGCUUAGCGGCGGCGCGGUGCUGGUGAGGUUNNNNNNNNNNNNNNNNNNNNNNNNNNNNCUCAGGCGGCGGCGGUGGGGUUGGAGCAUACUUGAAAUGCCAAGAACGGCCGAGCAUAGGCGACGGCGGUGAUGGCUGUAUUCUAAGCGUUCUUCCGCUACCGGAUAAUACGGAUCCUACAGUUCAAAAAAAGUUAAAUCAAUGUUCAUGAUCGUCAUCUCCAUCUGGUUUAAAAAUCAAUAGAAACACCAAUUAAGCAUAAGGGGUAACGAUUAUACCUGGAUCAUGAUCAAAUACAGUCGAAGUACUUGCUUGAAGAACAUAAUAGAGCAUCAGAAUCAUAAGCAAUGGAAGAACUACUUGUUUUAUGAAAAAAAUCUUCUGCAUAAGUGAAUUUGGAUCUUUUUUUGGAUAUCUUCAAAUGUUCAUUUAUGGAAAUAAAGACACCCAACAACUAAAUCCUAUCUCAUGCUCGUAUAAUAAAUGUGCACCACAAGUGGCAUGCACUUCAAAUUUUAUAUCAUUUUGUGCAAAUGUUAGUGAAA
rnacentral:lncRNA from 1 species